rnacentral:rRNA from 1 species
AUUGAACGCUGGCGGCAGGCUUAACACAUGCAAGUCGAGCGAGCGGCGGACGGGUGUGUAAUGUCUGGGAAACUGCCUGAUGGAGGGGGAUAACUACUGGAACCGGUAGCUAAUACCGCAUACCAUCAGAUGUGCCCCGAUGGGAUUAGCUAGUAGGUGGGGUAAUGGCUCACCUAGGCGGCGAGCCCUAGCUGGUCGGAGAGGAGUAACAGCCACACUGGAACUUAGACACGGUCCAGACUCCUACGGGAGGCAGCAGUGGGGAAUAUUGCACAAUGGGCGAAAGCCUGAUGCAGCCAUGCCGCGUGUGUGAAGAAGGCCUUAGGGUUGUAAAGCACUGUCAGCGAGGAGGCGUUACUCGCAGAAGAAGCACCGGCUAACUCCGUGCCAGCAGCCGCGGUAAUAC